AACGAACGCUGGCGGCAUGCCUAACACAUGCAAGUCGAACGAGACCUUCGGGUCUAGUGGCGCACGGGUGCGUACCGCGUGGGAACCUGCCCUUAGGUUCGGAAUAACUCCCCGAAAGGGGUGCUAAUACCGGAUAAUGUCUUCGGACCAAAGAUUUAUCGCUUUGGGAUGGGCCCGCGUUGGAUUAGCUAGUUGGUAGGGUAAAAGCCUACCAAGGCGACGAUCCAUAGCUGGUCUGAGAGGAUGAUCAGCCACACUGGGACUGAGACACGGCCCAGACUCCGACGGGAGGCAGCAGUGGGGAAUAUUGUACAAGGGGCGAAAGCCUGAUCCAGCAAUGCCGCGGGAGUGAUGAAGGCCUUAGGGUUGUAAAGCUCUUUUACCCGGGAUGAUAAUGACAGUACCGGGAGAAUAAGCUCCGGCUAACUCCGUG
rnacentral:rRNA from 1 species